ACCGGGCACGGUGACGCGUGCCUGUCAUCCCAGAGAUCCGGGAGGCUGAGGCAGGAGGAUUGCAGGUUUGAGGCCAGCCUCAGCAACAGUAAGAUUCUGUCUCAA
rnacentral:sRNA from 1 species